GUGAAUUCAAAUAGCAUUAAUCAAGUUAAGGAUAAAAUGAAAAAACUUCAAUAUGACCGUAUGAUCUCUCUAAAAGCUGAAAAUGAAUUUGAUAGUUGGGGUUUCACAGCCCCAGAUCCUUUUCAAGCGUGUAAGGAAAGAGUAUGCAAGAAAGCCAUAGCAGGACUGGUAGAUCAAGAUGGUGAAACACAAACAGAAAGUAAGGAUAUUAUAAAUAUUGUCACAAAAUAUUUUAAGCAAUUGUUUGCAAGACAGCCUAUUGCAAAUGAAAAUAUUGUAAAAUAUUUGCAAGAUGUUGAUAAUCCGGUAUUAAAUGCAGUGGAUGCUGAGACCAUGGUUAAGCCUAUAACAGAGGAAGAAGUUAGAAAUAGCAUUCAAUCAUUAGUUGGGAAGAAAAGUCCAGGAUUGGAUGGGAUAACUGCAGAGUUUUAUAAAGUGUUUUUAGAUCUUUUGGUAACGGACCUUGUAGUGCUAUAUAAUGAAGUGCUAACUCUGGGACAGUUGCCGUCCUCACAGUAUGCCUCAGUCUUGGUACUUUUAUCUAAAAGUGGUAAUUUGAAUGAACUAAAGAACUGGCGUCCGUUAUCAUUAUUGAAUACUGAUUACAAAAUUCUUGCAAAAGUCAUGUUUAUGAGGCUUAGUGCGGUGGCUGAAAUUUUGGUAAGUCCGUGUCAGUCGUGUGCAGUUAAGAAUCGUAGCAUACAGGAUACACUGUUGCUAGUAAGAGAGGUGGUGGAAUAUGCUAAGCAGCAGAGAGAAGGUAUUUAUUUGGUAGGACUAGACCAGUCCAAAGCAUUUGACCGAGUACAUCAUGAAUUUUUAUUUGAGACUUUACGGAGAUAUGGCAUUCCUAAUACUUUUAUUAAAUGGUUGAAGAUAUUAUAUAAAGAAGCAAUAUGUUUCCCUUUAAUUAAUGGUAGUUUGGGAGACCCUUUUCAGGUUGAAUCUGGAGUUCGUCAGGGUUGUCCUAUAAGUCCUUUGCUUUAUGUUUUUAGCAUUGACCCUCUAUUAAGGAAAAUAAAAGGAAACCAUAAUUUUCAAGGCCUAGAAGUGAAAGUAGAAGGUGUUUCCGAGAGAAUCAAAGUUUGUGCUUAUGCAGAUGAUAUUUCUGUUUUUUUGAAAUCAGAAGCAGAUAACCAAUUGUUACAAAGGGAACUUAAAAGUUAUUCUCAAAUUUCCAACUCUAUGGUUAAUAUGGAGAAGAGUGAAGCAUUGUGGCUGGGGGAUAAUGCAGAAGCUUUUCAAAUCCCUUUUAAAAGAAAGGAUAAAACAAUCAAAGUGUUGGGUAUUACAUAUGGAUGUGUUGAAGACAUUGCCCAGAGAAAUUGGGAUGAUAAAUUUAAAAUAUUCUCAGAUAAAAUACACAAAUGGAAAAAUUGGAAAUGGUCUUACCAAAAGAAAAUUCAAGCUAUCAAAUGAUUUUUAUUUCCCAUUUUUAUUUAUACUAGUUUUGUCUUUCCAUUACCAGAUAAAUUAGUGGUUAAGAUAACCGGUUUGUUGUUCCAGCUAAUAUGGGGUAAUCGUUUAAAUAUUGUUAAACGUAACAUUUCAUAUCUCCAUAGGAAAGAUGGAGGAUUAGGCAUGUUGUGUCCAGAACUUUUUUACAAUCUCUUGUUUAUAACCAAGAAUUUAAGUUUUUUGAAAUCUGGUAGAACAGAUUUAUGGGGAGUCUUAUAUAAAAACCAAAUUAAUCACUUUGUUGGAGUUUGGACAAGAGGUGUAAAGAUCAAAAGAUUGUCUGGUAAGGUUAAACAUUGCUCUCUAUAUGCUCAGCAAUGUAUAAAGUUGUUGCUGAGAUGGCAAAUUUCAUAUGAAGAUAUCACUGGGCUAGAUAGAAAACAAUUAUAUCAUGUUCUGUUAAAUAAGUACUAUAGUGCCCAGCUGGUUUUAAAAGACUGCCCUAAUACCUUAAUGAAAAAAACCAUUCAGAAUGUUACUAGCACGAGAAUACCAGUUAAAUUGAGAGAUGUUAUUUGGCUUAGUUUUCAAGGAAAAUUAUACGUUCGCUCUAAUUUGAAAUUUAAAAAACUUGAGGAACGAAAUUGUCCAAGGGAAGAAUGUUCAGGGAUGUUAGAAACAAUGUCUCAUUUUUUGUGUGACUGUCCCUUUAGUUUAGCAAUAUGGUCAGAAAUGUCCAUACUUCUUAAAAUACCAAAUUUUAAAGGACAGUCCUACGCUGAAUUAGUAUAUGGAAAUUUCAAUUGGGCAGAUAAGAUUAACAAAUGCACUUUAUAUGUAAUUAAUUGUAUUGUAAUAUAUCAUUUAUGGCAAGCGAGGUGUUUAAAAUCUUCAAAACAAAUUAUUUUAACUACGGACUCUGUGAUUAAUCGGAUAAUUAAAGACAUAAAAGAUGUAUAUGUAAAAGAACAAACUACAGAUUGUUGGGAAAAUAUAGACAUGACAUUUUGUUUUUAAUUGUAUUUUUGUAUAUGUUUUUGAUACAUUGAACACUGUUUUGUAAUUUGUUGUAAGAAAAUUUAAUAAAAAAAAGUCCUACUAUUACUCCAUAUAACCUCUCUCUAUAACUCCUCCUAUUACUCCAUAUAACCUCUGCCUAUAACUCCUCCUAUUACUCCAUAUAACCUCUCCCUAUAACUCCUCCUAUUACUCCUUCCUCUCCCUAUAACUCCUCCUAUUACUCCAUAUAACCUCUCUCUAUAACUCCUCCUAUUACUCCAUAUAACUCCUCUCUAUAACUCCUCCUAUUACUCCCUAUAACCUCUCCCUAUAAUUUAUCCUAUUUCUUGUAUAAUAUCUCUAUAUAACUCCUGCAAUUACUCAUUUUAAACUCGCUAUAUCCUCUAUUCUUCAUCCUCUUACUCCAUAUAAACCCUCGCUCCAUACCAGUUCCUAUUACUUCAUAAAACCUCUCUCUAUAACUCCUCCUGUAACUCCAUAUAACCUCUCCCUAUAUCUCCUCCUAUUACUCCAUAUAACCUCUCCCUAUAUCUCCUCCUAUUACUCCAUAUAACCUCUCCCUAUAACUUCUCCUAUUACUCCAUAUAACCUCUCCCUAUAUCUCCUCCUAUUACUCCAUAUAACCUCGCUCUAUAUCUCCUCCUAUUACCCCAUAUAACCUCUCUCUAUAACUUCUCCUAUUACUCCAUAUAACCUCUCCCUAUAACUCCUCCUAUUACUCCAUAUAACCUCUCUCUAUAUCUCCACCUAUUACUUCAUAUAAACUCUCACUAUAACUCCUCCUAUUACUCCUAUAUAACCUCUCUCUAUAACUCCUCCUAUUACUCCAUAUAAGCUCUCUCUAUAACUCCUACUAUUAUUCCAUAUAUCUCCACCUAUUACUCCAUAUAACCUCUCCCUAUAACUCCUAUGUGUUGGAGCUCCUGUAGGGGGAUUGAGGAUGGCCUCAGACCCAAGUGGGGGUGUUCUGGAUACUAGUUCUGCUCUAGUCCCAGGCCUGGAGGUGUUGGAAGGCCAAGAAGCCCAAACAAAUGAAAGCAGACAUUUUAAGGAAAGUUUAAUUAGUAAAGCUUUGAUGGUUUUGGACAUAAGACUGGGAGAUGCU